CCCUUAGAUGUCCUGGGCCGCACGCGUGCUACACUGAUGCAUACAGCGAGUACUCCCAGCUCCGAGAGGCUGCUGGUAAUCAGCAAUAUGCAUCGUGAUGGGGAUAGAUCUUUGGAAUUAUAGAUCUUGAACGAGGAAUUCCUAGUAAUCGCAGGUCAUCACCCUGCGUUGACUAAGUCCCUGCCCUUUGUACACACCGCCCGUCGCUCCUACCGAUUUCGAGUGAUCCGGUGAAUCAUUCGGACCGCGGCCCCUAGGCAUGCGGAAAGUCUAGUAAACCAUAUCACUUGGAGGAAGGAGAAGUCGUAACA
rnacentral:rRNA from 1 species